rnacentral:tRNA from 1 species
GGUAGUGUGGCUUAGUGGAAAGAGCAUGGUCCUGGGAGUCAGAAGACCUGGGUUCUAAUUCCGGCUCCACCA